AGCCCCUUCUUGGAAGGGCUCGUAUCUCUCUGCCGAACGCUGCGGGAGGCACUAGCACCCUUGCCCUGGCAUAACCUCGCCAGGUUUGACCUCAGCCUAUUCAAGGUAGAGAAAAAUCAAAAUAAAGUGUUAACAUUGCUAAGGCCAAAGAAGGUAUCACCAUCAGAGCACUGUCAGGGGAAAGGAACAAGGUUAGGUCCUUUAAUAUAAGAAAAGAAAGACCAAGAGGACUUCAACACUAACAAGGCAUUGGUUCUCUAAAAACAGACUAGCAUCUGAUAGCACACAAGCUAAGGUUUCAUGUGACAGAGUAAACUACUGAUGGUAAAAGAUGCUGCGGCUAAUGGAUUUGGGAAGAAAAAUAAAACAGCCUAAGCUAAACUCCUUACAUUGGAGGAAGGUCAUUACAAACAGAUGCUGAAAGGGGAGACAUCCAGUGGAGGGGAGUGGACAAAUUCCCUCAUGUGACUUCCACGAUGGAUGUGGAAAACUAACAGUACCCUGAGUCUUCACUGAUCUUAGAGGUUUAUGGUAUAAAGUAGACGGGGACAGUUGGAACAAGGAGUACUUCCGGAGGAAUGGCAUGGACCUUAGCCUGCUUGUACGUGAGAAGAACAAAUCAGCAGGAGUUUGGUGAGAUUUGAAGUAAGAUGGGACUCUGGCUUAAAGGCCCACGGACAGCUCAGUAAUGAGAACUUGAGAGCGCCACAGUGGUCAAAACAAAGGAGAAAAGUUUUCAAAAAGUUACCUUUUUUGUACCCAGCUUUUGAAAAAUUCUUUCAUUUUAGAUACCCUAAAAGAUGUACUGUUCUUAUGAGUAAGUAGUUCCGAUGGGGACAGUAAAAGAAAGAAAACUUCAAAAACCCCAAGUUGUGGCCUCAUAAUGAAAACUAAUAGAAACAU